GUCUGUCAAAAAAUGUUGGAGAUUGGAAAAUGUCAUUCCUUACAGAAUUUAUAUUGUGCACUGUUAGGAUUGUCAAUACACUGAGAAUUUUAUUAUCCAUAGUCUGGUGUCUGUGUUUGAUAGAUAUUGACUGCCUACAACAUCCAUGGUUUUUGUGUCUAUGAUCACUUUUGAUCCCUUACACCUGUUUAAUUGUAAUUAUUUUCUAUUACACCUGUUUGAAAUUGUGAUAUCAUUGCUAAUCAUCUUUUUUUUUGCACUAAAAUAUGGAUUUGAUUUAUAAUUUUUCAUUUAACGAGCAUAAUUGGUGAUACUAGAAGCUUAGGCAUGGGUAGUGACUACUUAUAUAAGAUGUCAGAUAUGUUCCCUUGAGUUGGUUUUGACUCUGCUGCUUGAAGUUCCAAAUUAUUCUUUGAUUGUGUUAAUGAGCAUUUAAAUAUAGAAAAGAAUAUAUUGGCAGCAAUAUUAAUAUUCCGACCGGAUACUUACUAAUGGGAUGGACCAAGGUUGGCAUUGUUUGGUGUGAUAUUGGAAUAUGUCCAAGGUCUGGAUGAUGCUUAAGCAAUCAACCGAAUUCAUGAAAUUGACGAAGGGAAUCCAUGCCAGAUCCAUGUUGGAUCACCCGUAAGUGGUAUGAAAUUGACUGGAAGUGUACUAUGGUUAUCAGUUUAGAUGCGUUGUUAGUCGCGAAAAUGUAAGAAACUUGUACUGUGUACCUUUUUGUAACCCUUUCAUUUGUUGUCUCUUUUUAAAGCUAAUGCUAAAUCGAAUACAGAAGAUGAAUUGCAUGGGGUCAAGUAAUGGGUACUCAACAAGUGAGGGUCGUCUAUAAAACACUUAAAAAGAAGGAUGAUUCUAAACAGACCGAGAAACUAGACUACACCAAAACAAUAUCUCACUUUAUGUCUCACAAUUUUUUUUGUAUGGUCUCGGUGGGCCCCGCGGAGGACAGUAAGGGGUCCCAUUUUUUGGGUUUGUUGCGUCUAAGGUUUCCGUGUGGUUUCAUUCACACGGUUCACUAAGAAUUUUUGUAAAAAGAAAUGCAGAUGGAAAUCUACAUCAAGGUGUUACUUUCUUGAUCAUUAAUACGAAACUCUGGUCAAAGUAAAGAGUUUUAUUGAAA